GAUCCAAGUGGAAUGAUUGUACAUGUCUAGGAAAAGCUCUGGUUAAGACUUGGUAUUUAAGCAGUCUAUUUGUGACUCACCUCUCUUCUCCAAAAGUAUUUUCCUGG